AAUAGAUACCCCGGUAGUCCACGCCGUAAACGAUGUCGACCUGGAGGUUGUUCCCUUGAGGAGUGGCUUCCGGAGCUAACGCGUUAAGUCGACCGCCUGGGGAGUACGGCCGCAAGGUUAAAACUCAAAUGAAUUGACGGGGGCCCGCACAAGCGGUGGAGCAUGUGGUUUAAUUCGAUGCAACGCGAAGAACCUUACCUACUCUUGACAUCCACGGAACUUUUCAGAGAUGAAUUGGUGCCUUCGGGAACCGUGAGACAGGUGCUGCAUGGCUGUCGUCAGCUCGUAUUGUGAAAUGUUGGGUUAAGUCCCGCAACGAGCGCAACCCUUAUCCUUUGUUGCCAGCGGUCCGGCCGGGAACUCAAAGGAGACUGCCAGUGAUAAACUGGAGGAAGGUGGGGAUGACGUCAAGUCAUCAUGGCCCUUACGAGUAGGGCUACACACGUGCUACAAUGGCGCAUACAAAGAGAAGCGACCUCGCGAGAGCAAGCGGACCUCAUAAAGUGCGUCGUAGUCCGGAUUGGAGU
rnacentral:rRNA from 1 species